CAAGGUGCUAUAAAUGAAUUAUUGAAUGAAUGCAAAAUCUUGUAUAAAACCAUAUCAACUCAAGAGAAACAUAUCAAAACUCUUGAAGAGAAAAUGGAUACCAUGCAGAAAGAUUUUGAUCUUGAAAAGAAACAAUAUGUUGAUAAAAUGGAACAAAAAUAUACAUGUAAUAAAUGUGAAUCACUUUCUUUUCAAAUUGUUCAAUUAAAGAGAGUCCUUGAAAGGUAUGAAAAAGGACAAAUUGGGUUGAAAGGUGUCCUUAGGCAACAAAGAUUCCCUAAUGAUAAAAGUGGUCUUGGAUAUGCAAAGUCUAACAAACCAAGUACUAGUAAAACUAUCUUUGUGAAGGCAAGUGAACAAUUCAACAAAUUGGAUAAAGCACAAAAGGUUCAUCAUCAUCCUAAAAGGUUUCCUAAAAAGAAACCAUAUGUUCCUAGAUAUAAAAGUAAUUUUGUUCCUACUUGUUUUUAUUGUGGUAUUGUUGGUCAUACACCUAAUGCUUGCUAUAUAAGAAAUUUCAGUGUGGCAAGUGGUCAUUAUGUGUGGGUUAAGAAAGGAACUAACUAUGAUGGACCCAAAGCACAUUGGGUACCAAAUCAAACUUAAUUUGUUUUGUAGGUUUGCUUGAGGACCACUUAAAAUCUAUGGUGUUUUUGACAAGUGGUGGUUCUAAGCAUUUGAUUGAAGACUUAAACUAACUUUCAAAUCUAGUUAUAAAGUCCAAGGGUGAUUUCACAUAUGGAGAAUACCUUAAAGGAAGAAUUCUUGGCAUUGACAAAGUUGGAGCACUAAUUUUCAUAUCAAUUGAAGAUGUACUUUAUGUUGAAAGACUAAAGCAAAAUCUUCUAAGCAAAAGUCAACUUUGUGACAAAAAGCUUCAAAAUAAUAUUCACCAAAGAUGAAUGUUUGAUGAAGUCACUCAUGAGGUAAAACUCAUAGGUAAAGAAUUAAUUGUGUUCAUAUUUUAUUUUCAAUAAUUUAUCUUUUUCCCAUCCUUUUUGAUAAUGACAAAGGGGGAGAAGAUAUUUGUGUGUAUGUGUAUGCUUGUCUCUAACUUUUGCAGCCACAAAGAACCAAAUUCUCUAUCAAUCAAGGGAGGUCUUUGAUAAAGGGGGAGUUAUCAAAGUUAGGGGGAGCAUUCACAUAAGAACUUCUCAUUUAUUCUAAGAGAUUCAAGCAUUUCAACUUUCAAUGGUUGUCAUCAUCAAAAAGGGGGAGAUUGUGAAGUCAAGCUUCUCCAAUAGUGUGUUUUGAUGAAGACAACUUUAAAUCUCUCAAGAUCAUGUACAUAUAUCAAAGAAGAAGGGAAAAGAUGCAUGACUUUAUUUGAUCAAAAUUUCAAGGAUUGUUGGAAACAAGAAGUUGAAAGUGAGAGGAUUGUUCUCAUUUCAACUUGAUAAAUCCAAGAGGAUUGUUCUUGGUGGUUUGGGUGUUAGAAGAUUGUAGGAUAAGUCUUGGGAUUAGGCUUGUACAAAUAUCUAACAAUAGUGAAAUCUCUUUCGUGUUGAAAGGGGACUGGAGUACUCUCGGAUUGUGAGGGGAACCAGUAUA